UGGAGGAUUGCAGCAAUCCUGCUUGCUACCUCCCUCAGCAGAGGAGGAGACUGAGGGUCCGAGAGGUGAAGGGGCCGGCUCCCAGGCACACUGUAAGAGCCAGAGGGCAGCCCUGGGCAAGGAGCAGAAGAGCCAGAAAGAGGGAAGGAGGUAAAGUGGGAGGAAGAGCUGGUCCUCCGCCAGCUGACUUGUCUAACUCCCCGCACUUUCUGCCUGAGAAGGGAGCUGGGCUUUCCCCACCCUGUCCCUUGGGCUGCCUGGUGUGGGCUGGAGGCCUUGGCCCUCUUACUGGGAAAGGACGGAGGGUGGGCAGGCCCUUGGGACAGGACGAGGUGCAGGACUUUGUGGGGGGCAGGGCGGGGUGAGGAAGCCCCCUGUUCUGAGCAUCUUCUCCGUUCUAAUCCCAUAGCCGGAGUCCCCUGAGUUAAACGUGACUCUUCUGUGACAGACCCCAACCCUCCCACGUUCCUGUUUCCUCUGUGGCCCCUCUGUCUGCAUCUCUCUUUUUUCCUCCAGGGGACAAAUGGUCUUUUUUUUUUUUUGGCGGGGGGAGGGGGUUGAACCCAGGGCCUUUGCACUGAGCUACAUCCCCAGCCCUUUAAUACUUACUUUAAAAAAAAUUUUGACACAAGGGCACAGUAAGUCACUAAGAUGCCAAGACGCGGCUGGAACUUGCAGUCUUCCUGCCUCAGUCUCCCAGAAUGCACCACCAUGCCCAGCUGAGAAUAAAUGCUCAUUGGGAAGUCAUAUCUCCUCAGCAUCUCUCAAAUUCACCCACUCUCCCGCCUGCCCCACCCCUCCUGCCCCAGGCACAAUCUAGGUCACAUCUGCAUCACUGCAAUAAAAAUCUUUCUAAAAUCUGACCCAGUAUGGCUGCCCUUCAGCCCUGAGCUCCCCUUGGCUCUCAAGAACAUCUAGAUCCCCAACACGCCCCACAGGGCUCUCUCUGCUUGGACUGCAAUCUCUCUGGCUUCUUCCGUGGCACACCGCAUCACUGACCCCAAAAGACAAGGUCACCUUUCUUUCCCCCAGGUUCAUCGAUGAAGUCUCUGGGUGCUUGCUUGAGCUGUUCCCUGAAAUGCCUGUCCCGCCUGUGGUGUCCACUCAUUCCCCAAGGCUCAGCACAAUGACUGCACACUCCUGAGAGCGCCUUUCCAUGUGAUUCUCUGCUUCCAGGCUGCUCUUUUCCUUCUUUAAACCUCAGUUUCCUUGCAUGGUGGGGGGAGAGUUUGAUCUCUGAGCUACAUAAUGUCAUGAAUUUGCCAGAAUGGGUGGAGUUUCUUUCUGAUGGAGAAAGAGGUCCUUUGAGUGUGUGGAUGUGUUGGAUGAGAACCUGGCCACCCACCUGUGUUUCCGCAGGCCUGGCAACUCACCCUGGCUUUGAUCGCAUGGUGUUGGAGCGCUCCUGGGCUCAUGCCACAGGGACCUGAGAUGCUGGGGCUCUCGAGCCAGGCUGUUCAGAUUCCAGAGCCUGAAUGUAUGUGCACCUGUGCAUGUGUGUAUGUGCGCAUCUGUGCACACGUGUAAAAUAACGGAAUCUAGGGUUGGUGGAGCACUCUAACCUUCUCAGCACUCUCUCACCUCUUGCAGCCCUUUGAGGCAGGUCCUGCAGAGAUCCACACUCAGAGAUAUUGGCCCGCUUCGCUUCCUUAGUCACAUAGCUACAAUGAGGAAUGGCCAGGGCAGCUGAGCGGGCACAGAUCCUACCCUGGCCUGGGAAGUCAAAUUGGAUCCUCAAAGUGUAAAGAGAUUCUUCUUAGAGGUGGAAGAGGCAAGUCCAAACUUGUUUCCCAUAAGGGAGAGAAGCUGUCCACCCACCCAUCCAUCCGUCCAGUUAUCUACCUAAUCCUCCCAUCCAUUUACUCCCCCCGCCCCCCUUCACAAUUCCCAUCUAUCCAGUAUCUUCUGAUUGUAUUCUGGGCUAGGCUUUGUGCUGAGAGCUGAAGACUCUACAGAUGAGUCAAAUAACUCCCCUGCUCUCCAACAGCCCAUAGUGGGAUAGAAAAAGAUGAUGCAAAUAGACUAUAAAAACUAAACAUGUAAAUGCCAUGUUGAGACACAUCAGGAGCUGUGGACCACAGAAGAGGUCCUCACUCAGUCAUUGUAGGGAACAGGGGAAGGGGACAUUACCAGAACCUCUGCAGUGAGUCCUGGUCUCCUGCGAGCCACGGCAGCACACGGCGAAUUACAGGAAAGGUAAAAAAAUGAGACUGAGAAGAAGCUGAGCUUUGGGUCUGAUCAGUGCCGCUCUGGGCAGCAAAGACGAAAGUGGCCCCCCGCCCCAGUACAUCGGGAGAAACAAAGUGUAACAAAUGACUUGCAGAGAGUUCAGUACAUCCUGCGUAAAUAAGAUGUAACAAUCCAAGCACAAGGAGGAACUGAGUAGAUGUUUGUUCCUCCCAGGAUGUUUUCAGCUCCCAGGAUGUUUCUUGGGCUGGAGAAUCUCAGCAUCACCGGAUCACUGAGGUCUCAGUUGUGACCGGAGGGCAAAAUGGAGUUAUGUCUCAGAAUUCCAUAGCUGGGUUAUAGGCAGGAGAACUAGGCUAACCAAAUGAUUUUCCCGUGAAAUUAUGUAGCAUUGCUCCCGACAAGUCAUGGGGUCAGAGAGGCUUCCUGGAGCAAGUGACGCUUGGGUUGAUCUUAAAGAACAAGAGGCAAUAGCAAGGCAGAAAGAGUCAGAGUUAAGGGCCAGAAUGUGCAAAGGCCCGGAGAUGUGGCAAAUCAUGUCACAUUGUUUGGCAAACUGUGUGUGCUGGAAAAGGCAGAGGUGGUAGAGUAGAGUGGGAGAGAAGUCAAAGAUAGGGUCCAACGAAGAUGUCUUGACCUGUUGCAGGUUCUUCUGGAAGUGGACAGGGAGGGAGUACUGAUGGAGGCCUUCCAGAGACAGUGUUAGGCAGCUGACACCAGAUCGGAGUGAGUGCAUACUGAGAGCAGGCUUCUUGGGUGCAAGGCCAAAGAGGCUUUGAUUCAGGCCUGCUUGCUGACCAGGUGAGCAUUAGCAGGCUGAGGCCCCAACUGUGGAGCCUGGCGGAUGGGUCAGGCUUCUGAGCCUCAGUCUCCCAUGGCCCAGCUGAGGAGCUGUCAUUUGCUGGUUGAGGCUGCCGAUGCUCCUUCCCUUUCCCUUACAGGAUGACUCCAAAUGGCCAUUCUAGCUUUCUCCAGUUCAGUCCAGGCAGGGUGAUUGUCUAAAACACAGUCCCCAAUGCAUCACUCACUGCUUGUGUAUAAAAGCCUACAGUUCUUAAUAAAGCAUUAAAAAAUACCACACUUUUAAAACAUUCUCUGCCUCCCAUCCAUCCAUCCAUCCUUCCACCCUUCUAUCCUUUCUUGCUUCUUACCCUCACUCUCUCCUACUUCUUUUUUUCUCCUCCUGUUCAGUCUCUCCAAAUGCCAACCUCCUUUCUUGUGUCUGAGGGGCAGGCUCUUCCUUUGUCCAGUGAGGGGUGGUGGUGGUGGUGGGGCUGUUGCUCUUCUUUGCUCUUUAUGGGAUAAAGAAUUCAUAGUUUGUUUCCGUGUCUGUCUGUUGCCCAGUGUCCUACCCCCACUCCACCAGGGUGGCUUCUUUGUACAUUGUUUAGGUUGUGCACUGCACAAUACCCAGCUGAAGGACGUGCCCUGAGCAGACUAUAUCUGCUCAGAAGGAAGAAUGCUUUUUCCCCCUAAUCUACAAAGGCAUCUGCUGCCCAAGUGAUGGGCUCAAUUGGCCGAGUCUAUUUCAAGCAGGCAUCUUUUCUGUUUCUCCACCUAAGGUUCUUUGAGCCUAGUGAUGGCCAUACCCUGAUCCAAGUUCCUGAAGCUCAGGACCACUUUGGUUCCAACCCUCCAGCAAUUAACACAACAGUGGCAGGCCCCAGAGACCUGCAGGAAUGUUCGGAAAGGGGAAGACUGAGUAGCAAGUCUUGGUUCCCUGGGCCUUGAGGGUAUGCUACGACUCAUGCUUGCCUUGUAGGGGGACCAGGCUUCUGACAGUGUGACUGCAGGUUUGUUUGGAAAUUCCCCAGUAAGUGGUGAUUUUUUUGUCUCCUGGGGACCUCAAGAGCUCACUGGAGGACCCACAGACCAGGGCUCCUCCAAAUAUUGUUUUAAACUGAUUGAUGCCAUGCCAGGCAGAGAAGGGACAGGCAUUUUUCAUACAUGAAAAACAAUACAUUCUAGGGCCAAGACAAAAUUAUUUCACGUUUGUAUGAUAACAGGCAGGGAGACAAAGAUGAUGUUUAAGGACAUUUAAACCUCAAAAUCAUUAGUCACUGUCCCAGCGGGCUACACAAAUAAAUGAUCAAUGCACAGAAAAACAAGGCCC
ensembl:lncRNA